rnacentral:lncRNA from 1 species
AUACUGAGCAGCUUACUCAAGCCUGGUGUAUGGCUCGCGCCUGUAAACACCAGCACCUGGGAGGCCCAGGCAAGGGGGAGUUCAAGACCAUCCUUAAUACACGGCAAGUCUGCACUAUAAGACUCUACAUCAUUCACAACUAGUCACCUAGCUUUGUGACUACUUAAGAAAAGCCCUCCUGGCCUCUUCUUGGCCCCACAUGGAUGGAUAUUAAGCCCCUCGACUAUGUAACAAACGGCUAGCCUGUAACUCAGAGCCUGCUUUCCGAGUCUUGAGAUUAAAAAUGUGUGUCACUAUGCCCGGCUAAACUUUUCUUUGGUAGCCUAUAUUAACCGCCCACAUCGGUGAAAAUGCGUAAGAAUAAAACUGCCGUCACACC